GACCUGGUGGUGUAGCGGUAACAUCCCUGCUUUGUUUCAAUAUUUGUGAAAGAUAUAUUUGGUGGGUCCUUGUUCAAUUCAAGGCCAGAUUA